rnacentral:misc_RNA from 1 species
GAUGAAGAACGCAGCGAAAUGCGAUAAGUAAUGUGAAUUGCAGAAUUCAGUGAAUCAUCGAAUCUUUGAACGCACAUUGCGCCCCCUGGUAUUCCGGGGGGCAUGCCUGUUCGAGCGUCAUUUCACCACUCAAGCCUCGCUUGGUAUUGGGCAACGUGGUCCGCCGCGUGCCUCAAAUCGACCGGCUGGGUCUUCUGUCCCCUAAGCGUUGUGGAAACUAUUCGCUAAAGGGUGUUCGGGAGGCUACGCCGUAAAACAACCCCAUUUCUAAGGUUGACCUCGGAUCAGGUAGGGAUACCCGCUGAACUUAAGCAUAUCAAUAAGCGGAGGA